CCGGAAUAGCUCAGUUGGUAGAGCACAGGACUGAAAAUCCUCGUGUCACCAGU
rnacentral:tRNA from 1 species